CGUAGCAAAACCAGGUUUUGCUAAAGACCUAAACUCUUUUUAUAGAAGUUCAAAUCUUCUCGCUAGCU
rnacentral:tRNA from 1 species